CUGAGCUAAAUCCCCAGUCCCAGUUUGUGGUUUUUUGUUUUUGUUUUUGUUUGUUUGUUUGUUUGUUUUUUGCAGGGAUUCUUACAGUGUGCAAGGAUUUUUCUGGGCUCUGGACUCUGUCCUUUAAGGGUACUCAGCUGGUGGAAAAGACAGAUGAAGAUAGAGAUCAAAGUCUCAGGUAUGGAGGUGCGUCCACGUGAGAAGUGUGAUGAGAACCAAGGUGAGGGCGUGGGACCUGCACCUGUGUACCACAAAGUCAAGGACUGGCAAAUCUACGGUGUGGGUUCUAACACUGUACAGGUUUUGCCUCAAUCAUCAGAUUAGCCGCUGCCUGAGGGGAUUUCUCUUGCCUCAGAUGAAAGGUUUUCUAUGGUACAAAGGAACUGAACUAAAACUUCCUAAGAACUUACAAGUAAUGUAAUAUACAUGAUCUUAUUUUAUCCAUUCCAUGAGCUGGUCAGGUAGGUUCUAUUAUUCCAUUUAUAGAUGGGAAAACUGAGACUCCAAGAGGUUCAAUAACUUCUUCAAGUUCACACAGCCAGCAAAUGCUGGUGUCUGGAUUCACACCCAGCUCUGAUCUCAAACUCUGAUUUCGUUUCCUGGGCUGAGUGCAGUGUUCCCUGCAGGCUGCCCUACCCUAGAAAGCACAGGAACUCCAGAACUAUGGGCUGAGCUGAAUGAUGCGUCCCAGUCCUCUGUCAUGACAGAGACAAUGUUUUCCCUCACUCGGAGCUGACAUCUGCCUCCUGGUGCCACAGAACAGCCUCUGCUGCAUUCCAGAUGUGAAAAACAAGGGCUUCCCUGCGAGUCAGGAUGCCAGGCUGUGUCUCAGCUACUGUCGAUUUCUUACUUUUAGACCUCAGUCCCCAGCCCAUGAGCCAGAGCAUGAGCCACCAAAUCCCUACCAGAAACUGAAAUAGAAACCCACUUUGGAGGCAAAUGGAGAAAUGGCCCCAGGGCAGCAGAUGUAGGUGGUGGUGUGUUCUCUUGACUGGCCCCGGGCUCUUGGCUGGAGCAGGCACUUGUUGCCAGGCUCUGCUGAUUCAACUCACCCCUCCUGGAGGGAACCAGGAAAGCCCUACUCGGAGUUGGGGUCUGGAGUCUGACAAAUGUAACCACAGCUCCCCCACAUUAGAUAUGAUGCUUAAUCUUCUCUGAGCCUCAGUUUUUUCCACUGCAGAAUGGGAAUAACAAUCAUACCUGUAUUUACUCUUAUGUCAAACACUUGGCAUAUCAUGGGAGCUCAAUAAAUAAUAAAUGAUAGCCAUUGCUAACCUUCUCUUUCAACUCAAUAUUGAAUGAGGGAUUUAUUUGUUAACUCUUCCAUUUUUUUUUCCAUUCAGUCAACCAGCCAACACGUGCCCACUGGGUAGGUCACAGCAGUGAAGAAUAUCAUUGCUGGGGUGCAUUAGGAGUUGAAUCUCCAGCACUGUUGCUGGUUGGCCAAGUACUCUGUGUUCCAGGAAGGCCAUUUCCCCUCACUAAGCCUUCACUUCCUUGUCUGUAAAAUGGGAACAAUAAUAGCAUCUCUAGAGAACACUGGCAUGUUAUGAAGAGUCAGUAGGACAAAGAUGUGGAGGCAGCCAGCACGGAUCCUCUGAGGGAAAGUGGAUGGCAGGUGAGCUGCACAGAGGAGUCAGGAGGCUCCUGACCCUCGGGCUAGGCCAGGUCUCCAGGGACAGCCACAGGAUGAGGCAAGAGGCUCAGGCUCAGAGACAAUUGCUAGGUUUCCGGACCAAGUCUCCCUCCCUUUCUGGUAAGCCAAUAGUGAGGAAAUGCCAAAAAAAAAAAAA